AUUAAAUUUUUCAUGGUUUAAAAAAUUUAUUAUAAAUUUAUUUUACAUAUAAAUUUUAGUGUUAAUUUUUAAUUAUUUUAAUAAUAAUUAUUUUAAUUAUUAUAGUAAUUAAUAUUAAAAAUUUAAGAAAUUAAGAUUUAGUAAUAUAUAAAUUAAUAACUAAUUUUGUGCCAGCAGUUGCGGUUAUUCAAAAGUUAAAUUAAAUUAUAUUGAUUAUAUAAUUAAUAAUUUUUUAAAAAAAAAAUUAAAAUAAUAAUUAAAUUAUUAAGUGAAAUUUUAAUUUAAUUUAAUUUUAAUUAAAAAUUAUGAAUUUAAUAAAUUUUUUAUUAAACUAGGAUUAGAUACCCUAUUAUUAAAAAUUUAAAUUUAAAAUAUCAAAAUAGUAAUUAAUUAUUUAUUGAAACUUAAAUAAUUUGGCGGUAUUUUAGUUCAUUUAGAGGAAUCUGUUUAUUAAUUGAUAAUCCACGAAUAAAUUUACUUAAUUUAUAAUUUUAUAUAUCGUUGUUUAAAAAAUAUUUUUUAAUAAUUAAAUAAUAUUUUAAAAUUUGAAAAAAAAAUUAAAUCAGAUCAAGAUGUAGAAUAUAAUUAAGAAUAUAAUGGAUUACAAUAAAUUUAUUUAUAUGAAUAUUAAUUUGUAAAAGUUAAUUAAAGGUGGAUUUAAAUGUAAUUUUAUUUAAUUUAAUAAAAUGAUUAAAAAUUAAAAUAUGUACAUAUUGCCCGUCACUUUCAUUAAUAAAUUGAAAUAAGUCGUAACAAAGUAGAGGUACUGGAAAGUGUUUCUAGAAAGAA
rnacentral:ncRNA from 1 species